AGCGGCGGACGGGUGAGUAAUGCCUAGGAAUCUGCCUGGUAGUGGGGGAUAACGUCCGGAAACGGUGGCUACUACCUCAUACUAUCGGAUGAACCCAUAUGGGAUUAGCUAGUAGGUGGGGUAAAGGCUCACCUAGGGGACGAUCGCUAGCUGGUCUGAGAGGAUGAUCAGCCACACUGGGACUGAGACACGGCCCAAACUCCUACGGGAGGCAGCAGUGGGGAAUAUUGCACAAUGGGCGCAAGCCUGAUGCAGCCAUGCCGCGUGUAUGAAGAAGGCCUUAGGGUUGUAAAGUACUUUCAGCGGGGAGGCGUUACCCGCAGAAGAAGCACCGGCUAACUCCGUGCCAGCAGCCGCGGUAAUUC
rnacentral:rRNA from 1 species